UACAGAGGGGGCAAGCGUUGUUCGGAAUUACUGGGCGUAAAGGGCGCGUAGGCGGCCUUCUAAGUCGAACGUGAAAUCCCUGGGCUCAACCCAGGAACUGCGUCCGAUACUGGAAGGCUUGAAUCCGGGAGAGGGAUGCGGAAUUCCAGGUGUAGCGGUGAAAUGCGUAGAUAUCUGGAGGAACACCGAUGGCGAAGGCGGCAUCCUGGACCGGUAUUGACGCUGAGGCGCGAAAGCCAGGGGAGCAAACGGG
rnacentral:rRNA from 1 species